rnacentral:rRNA from 1 species
CGGGGUGCAGCAGGCGCGAAAACUCUACAAUGCAGGCAACUGCGAUAGGGGGACAUCGAGUGGCAUCCACCUUGGGUGCCUGUCCCACCGUCUAAAAAACGGUGGUUAGCAAGGGCCGGGCAAGACCGGUGCCAGCCGCCGCGGUAAUACCGGCGGCUCGAGUGGUGGCCGAUAUUAUUGAGUCUAAAGGGUCCGUAGCCGGCUUUGCAAGUCCCCUGGGAAAUCCAGCGGCUUAACCGUUGGGCUUUCAUGGGAUACUACAUUGCUUGGGACUGGGAGAGGUAGGAGGUACUCGGGGGGUAGGGGUGAAAUCCUGUAAUCCCCCGGGGACCACCGGUGGCGAAGGCGUCCUACCAGAACAGGUCCGACGGUGAGGGACGAAAGCUAGGGGCACGAACCGGAUUAGAUACCCGGGUAGUCCUAGCCGUAAACGAUGCCCGCUAGGUGUCACGGCGGUCGUGAAUCGCCGUGGUGCCGUAGGGAAGCCGCGAAGCGGGCCACUUGGGAAGUACGGCCGCAAGGCUGAAACUUAAAGGAAUUGGCGGGGGAGCACAA